GUGCUGGUGGUGCUGGAGACCGGCCCGCGGCGCGGGGACAGCUACGUGUGCCGGGUGGAGCACGUCAGCCUGCGGCAGCCCAUCAGCCGGCUCUGGGAGCCCCCGGUGGACGCGGGCAGGAGCAAGCUGCUGGUGGGAGUCGGGGGCUUUGUGCUGGGGCUCGUCUGGCUGGCGCUGGGGCUCUUCCUCUUCCUGCGCAGUAAGAAAGUUUCAGGGCACCCCGAUCCACCCCCUCCAGGGAUCCCAAACUAGCAGCUGCCCCACGCCGCUGCUCCACCAGCGUGUCCUGCACUCCCCAGCCAGGAGCUGAGUUUCCCUUUGUGUUGUCACCGUGCUCCCUGCUGCCGCUGCAGAGCCUGCUCUGUCCCCUUCUCCAUAGGAACUCGCUGAGAUGUUGA